UACGUAGGGCGCAAGCGUUGUCCGGAAUUAUUGGGCGUAAAGAGCUCGUAGGCGGCCUGUUGCGUCCGCUGUGAAAUCCCGGGGCUCAACCCCGGGCCUGCAGUGGAUACGGGCUGGCUAGAGACAGGCAGGGGAGAACGGAAUUCCUGGUGUAGCGGUGAAAUGCGCAGAUAUCAGGAGGAACACCGGUGGCGAAGGCGGUUCUCUGGGCCUGUACUGACGCUGAGGAGCGAAAGCGUGGGGAGCGAACAGG
rnacentral:rRNA from 1 species